GCUAGGAUUCAAACCUGGUGUAUUUCUUCCCAUCCUUAUCUUUUUUCCUUGUCUUUGGAAGUUUCUGGAAUUAUCUUAUUCUUACUUAUAUCAUUAUGUGAGGUUUUUUUUUUUUUACAUUUGUUUUAUGAACUUCAUAUUUAUUCCUGCAACAAAACCUCUAUUUUCUUAAACUGGUUGCAAGAUAAAUAGAGAUUGAGUCAGCAGCUUGCUAGUCAAGCCUCUGCUUGUUCCCCAGAAGAAACCACAUGAACUCAGGUAUUGAUAUCAAAACAGGAAGCAACAAAAUGCACCAAGGCAUUCAGAGGAUGGGAGAGACGAACUGUUCCCUAGGAGGGAAGAAAUUAAUGAAACACGUGAAUACUUAUACAUCCCUGAAGACAGGAUUCCUGUGAUAUACUGAAAUGAAGAGAAAUUAACUAGUUUAUGGGGGUCUGGUUCUAGUCUCUACUUGUGCUGUGGUGACGUGUUUUCUGUUGCUUUGGAUACAUGCGGUGAUAGCAACCUGUUAGUCUUUGGAAAAACCCAGUGCAAAGGUAUGUGAAGCCUGGACAUGUGAGGUUGAAUAAGCACAUCUUAAAGCCACGAAAUGUAUUAACAUGGUUGGGCAGUUAUGGCAACGGAAAAACAGUGUCGAUGAACAAGAAUGCUUAAAGGGUGACGGCUUAAUAUAAGGAGAAAGCAGGCACUGUGUAGACUAAGAGGAUAUGACAUACCUUUCCAUUAUUCAUUGAGUUUUACAAACUCUAAUUCUGCCCUAUUUACAACUGCCCUGUUCUCAUGAAGUUUAGCUUCAGCAAAUGUUUAUUCGGUAACUAUAAAAUUAUGAAUAACUCAGUGGCUAGGCACUGAGGGGCAUAAAAUAUAGAAACGACAGGACCCCUGGCCUCGAGAUUGUAUAGAAAAGCACAGACUAUGUUUGCGAACCAAUGAGUCCAGUGUGUCGAAUACUACAUUGGUGGGAAAAAUGGAAGAAAGAUAAGGUAAAGAUAAAAAAUGGAAGAUGCGUGUAGGGCUCAAAUCAGUAGGUUUCUUGAAUGACAAAUUUAUGUUAGGACUUUAUUCUUUGGAAAGGAGGGAUUCACUGAUUUUUUUUUUUUUUUUUUCCCUUUUAAUGUGAAAAGAAAUUGAUCAAAGCUGUUUCUGGCUUUUUUUUUUUUUUUCACAUAUUUUUUUUGUCCUAUUCAUACUAUCUUUUUUUAGAUGGUAAAUUUUCAGUGAACAAAAACAAUAUCUAUUUUACUUGCUUGUUUAAUGUUCAAAGCAAUGUGGUAGGCUAUGCUUAAUAUUUAGUUGAUGUAAACACCAGCUGUUAUUAAAAAUUCAUGAGUUCUUAGUAUGGAAGGAAUAAAGGACCCCCAUUGUUCCUAACAUUUAUUUAGCAAAACCACCAUCUGCCUCACCAGGGAGAAAGAAGAAACCCAAGCAACUGUGGCAAAUCAUUUGCCUAAGUAGACCGCUUUUAAAUUCUAGUGAAGUUAGGUACUAGGGAGCAUAGAAAUUCUAUAAACAGAUAAUGAUCUGUUUCAUUGAUUGAGCAUUUUUUCAAUGUUAUGUCUGUAGGGAGAGUCCAGGAGACUAGCAUAUAUUUAAAUUCUCUAAGGCUCUGAUUGAAUAUGAUCAAGUGAAUUCCCUCUUUCAUUGUCCUUUAUAGCCUCUGUGAG
ensembl:lncRNA